UACGGAGGGUGCAAACGUUGCUCGGAGUCAUUGGGCGUAAAGCGCACGUAGGCGGCUCGUUAAGUCGGAUGUGAAAGCCCCGGGCUCAACCCGGGAAGUGCAUUCGAAACUGGCGAGCUUGAAUAUGGAAGAGGGUCGCGGAAUUCCCGGUGUAGAGGUGAAAUUCGUAGAUAUCGGGAGGAACACCAGUGGCGAAGGCGGCGACCUGGGCCAAUAUUGACGCUGAGGUGCGAAAGCGUGGGGAGCAAACAGG
rnacentral:rRNA from 1 species